AUUUUGUAUUAUUUUGCUGCUAAUGUCAGGGAAAUCAAGCAUAUAAAGAUAGGCAGUGGCAGAAAGCCAUUGGAUUUUACACAGAAGCUAUCAAACUCUGUAGUGAUAAUGCAACGUACUAUAGUAAUAGGGCUCAAGCGUAUCUAAAACUUGGAAGGUUGAACAUCCUGUUACUGAGUGGAUAGCAGAGAUAAAUCUGCCUGCAGCCCAAGUUGUCGUUGGAAUGGGUGUCCCCCUCUGGCAAAUUCCUGAUAAGGCGUUUCUAUGGGGUGGAGCAUGGUGGGUGGUAUGAUGCUUGGAGAAAAACUUCAGCUUUAGCUACCCCUUUUGAUUUUGACAAAGCACAAACCACAAAGCCAAAAGGUGUGAAAAAGUCUAUCUUGCAUGGCUUAUUCAAACUUGGACAUAAGGGAAGGUGGCAGUGGUUGUGCCAUUUGGUUUGGUGAUCUCAUUGAUUUGAAAUUGGUUCAAGCAAGCCGACAAGACAUAUACAUUCAAAUGGCUGUUUCAGGUAACUAUGUUGCAUGUUUUCUUGUUCGAAAUAUUAGAAUUGUUGUGUCUGCUUCAUCAUCAUACACAUGAAAUUUGAAAGAUGCAGGUUCAGAUGAAAUUUUUCUUAUUAAUUUCCUUAAGAAAAAGAAAGCAUAAAGGUAAGUUUCUUGCAUGUUUCUUAAGUCAAAGCUUUGGAUUUUUAUUUUUAAUGAUUUUGUUUCUAUAUUUAUAUGUAGNAAAUGAACACNGCACAAAGAAUGUUGUAUCAACCNAAGAUGAUGAAGAAAACCAAGAUGUUGAGCUUCCUUUGUUUGAUCUCGCUUUAAUAUCCGUUGCUACCAAUGGUUUCUCAGAAGAUAACAAGCUUGGAGAAGNUGGUUUUCGACCAGUAUAUAAGGGUAUACUCCCAAAUGGAAGAGAUAUUGCGAUCAAAAGACCCUCAACGAGUUCAUCUCAAGGGAUCAAAAGAAUUCAAGAAUGAAGUUAUAUUGUGUGCAAAACUUGAACAUGAAAUCUUGUUAAGAUUUUUGGUUGUGGUAUUCAAGAAGAAGAGAAAAUGUUAAUAUAUGAAUACAUGCCCAACAAAAGCUUAGAUUCAUUUAUUUUCGUUUCUGUAACCGGAGAGGAGUCCCAAGCGCACGUGACCGGAGAUUCUUCUUCAAGGAGAUGAAGAUGAUCGGUGGGUGGAAAAGCAAAGUGGUACGAUCGGAGACCGCUCGAUCAAGAAGAAGAAGCGUCAAGGCUGGUUUGAGUGUGGGGAACGAGAGAAUGAGUAAGGUGUUGUCGAAGGAGAAAACUCGAAGGGUUAAGGCAAGGAGGCAGUCACAGAGCUCCGGGAACAAGUACCUGAGGCCGGGGACCUUGAUUUUAUAUCCCCUUAGUUUCCACCUAAGACUGGAGUUAAUGCAUAGCACCUACUGUAAAUGGAGGUUCAUUAGAUAGUGCAAGUAUGGGUUUGCAGAGAUAUCAUGAUCCAGCUGGGAGCCGAAAUGGCCUCAGGUUUCCUCACCCUCUUCNUGUCAACCAACAGCACCACAAUUAUCAUCACCCAGCAAUGCCUAUGCAAGGAGUAAGAGGUCAUAAUAUCAACUUUCACCCUGCAGUAACUGCAGCAUCAUUUAGAGUUCCAAUAAAUCCUUCACGCGGUGUUGCUAUUCCACCGCAGCCUGGUUUUGAGCUAGGUCCUAGGCAUGUUGGCCCUGCACCAUGAGCCGGCUUCCGGAUUUAUCGACCUCAUAGGGGGAUUGUGCCUGAGACAACUCUUGGACACGAAAGUCUUCCACCUGUGGGCUUCCUCCAAGUUGAUGAUGUUGCUUUAAUUGAUGAAGUGGGAAAUUUAGUUGACCAUCACA